AACGCUAGCUACAGGCUUAACACAUGCAAGUCGAGGGGCAGCAUGAACUUAGCUUGCUAAGUUUGAUGGCGACCGGCGCACGGGUGAGUAACACGUAUCCAACCUACCCUUCAGUAAGGGAUAGCCUUUCGAAAGAAAGAAUAAUACCUUAUGUGAUCGUUUGAUGACAUCAGAUGACGAUCAAAGAUUUAUCGCUGAAGGAUGGGGAUGCGUCCCAUUAGGCAGUAGGCGGGGUAACGGCCCACCUAACCUACGAUGGGUAGGGGUUCUGAGAGGAAGGUCCCCCACAUUGGAACUGAGACACGGUCCAAACUCCUACGGGAGGCAGCAGUGAGGAAUAUUGGUCAAUGGCCGUAAGGCUGAACCAGCCAAGUAGCGUGCAGGAUGACGGCCCUAUGGGUUGUAAACUGCUUUUAAACGGGGAUAAAGUGAGCCACGUGUGGUUUAUUGCAGGUACCGUUUGAAUAAGGACCGGCUAAUUCCGUGCCAGCAGCCGCGGUAAUACGGAAGGUCCAGGCGUUAUCCGGAUUUAUUGGGUUUAAAGGGAGCGUAGGCCGCCUUUUAAGCGUGUUGUGAAAUGUCCUGGCUCAACCAGGGCACUGCAGCGCGAACUGGAGGGCUUGAGUGCGCACGACGCAGGCGGAAUUCGUGGUGUAGCGGUGAAAUGCUUAGAUAUCACGAAGAACUCCGAUUG
rnacentral:rRNA from 1 species